rnacentral:lncRNA from 1 species
CUUUUAUCAAUUAACCAGAAAUCUGGGUCUAUCAGCAGAAUUCAUCCAUCCAUCUUUGCUGUGAAACUGGAAACAGAUUUGUUUAAAUUAUUGGUCUUUUAAUUUGCCUCGUUUUGUCUCCUGUCUGAGAAGCCUGUUUAUUUUCAGGCAGCUGCAUAUGUUGGCAUGAUUGAUGAGAUCUGCUACAGUCAAGCAAGCAGCCCUGGGUGACCAGUUUACCCUUCCCCGCUAGGGUUCCAGCUGCCAGUUGCCCCCAUUCUGUGACAGCUUCUCCUUCUUCUCACCUUGUCAUCGAGCCAAGAUUGUACACUGUAGGAGAACAGUGACCUAGAUGACUGUGUUUGUUCACCUUUGCCUUCAUCUCUGACCUCAACUCAGGCCACAAGAGGAGAAGAAAUACAGGUUGAGUUCCAUGGUAGUUAUGUGGAACCAGAACUGACUCCAUGUGGCAGCCAUUUCUGACCCACUGUGAUGGUAUAAAAAGUCACUUAGGAAACAAACUCAGAUGACAAAUGGUAAAAAGAUAAAUUGACUUUUGGAUAUUAGGAUUUUAAGAAACUCUCUAUAUGCCACAGCAUAAUAUGCUGUUUUGAUAGAUUAGUGAGCUUGUAACAGCAAUUUUCCCAACUCAGUGCAUAUGAUCGAGGAUAGUGAUGGCAGCAGUGAGGCUAUACCUUAUACCCAUUCAGGAGAGGUCAAUUUCUAACAUAGCA